ensembl:lncRNA
UACACAUAUCCUUUUUUGGAGAAAGAGAAGAAGAAAAUGUUUGCAAGAACACUUGCCUGAUUUGUUACCCAGUUAUGGAAAAAGUGGUCUAACAAUACUGCAAAGAUUCAGUAUAUAAGCAGAUAACAAUGUGAAAGAAUUGCAGACACUGCAACAGCUAAUUAGCCCUGUGAAAGCUACAUAAGCAUUUGUUUUACAUAAAUUGCACCACUCUCAUCCUGACACAAAUAGGGUUCUCUCCUUUCUUCCUGUCACAGAUGUAGAACUACACAAAAAGCAUGUACUUCUGUUGAAGAGUUUCUCUCUCAGGAAGUAAGUGUUGGCUAAUGCAAAAUAUAUUAGCUACAUAAUUGGUUGGACUUUUGCAAAUAUGAUUCACCCUAUCUAACAGAUGAAAGCUAGUGAUAAAAGAUCCAUACUAGAAGAGAUUGCUACACAUCAGAAUUCAGGUAUCUAACUCUCUCUUCAUUGUUAUGAAGUACUAAUAUUAGCAACAGCGUACUUUCCUUGAUUUACAUUUAACUGUAUAAACUGAGCUACCCUAUUUUCACUUGCAGACAACCAGACGAACAUGCAGUUUGUUUAAUACUGCCUACACAGGGAAACCCCAAAGCCAGAUUUGAAACUGCUUGGGCAGUUUACUAAGAUACAUGAAGUAAUCAGUUGCUAUAACUAACACAAAAUCCUGGAACUACCUAGAAGUAGAGGAAGUCCAGGAGGAGUAGCCUACACUGUGUGAAAUUCUCACUGGGUUAUGGUUGUUUGACUAAACAUGCCCUUGAUGCUAAAAGCACAUCUAGUCUACCAUCUUGUCAUAAAACACAAAUACUUUACUCAGAUGUUUAGUUCGGAAAAGAUUUAAUGGUAUUUGCAAUCAGCAGAGCCUUAUAGCCCACAGGCCUCUAUGGAUAAUGAGAGCAGAUAUCUAUUAAACAUCUGGUGGCUUUCCUUCCAUGGAGCAGAACAAGUAUAUAGUAUUAACUAUUGCUCUGGGAGUCAUGCUUUAUUUCUGAAGAACUGGAUGUCACAAAUGACAUUUCGUUAUGAACGAACACAAACCACCAUAUCAGGAAGUUUUAUUUAAAAUGUGAAAUACAACUGUAAGUGCAACCAGUAUAAAUUACACAGCACAGAUGAACUGUUUGUGCAGUUUUAAGGGAAAAAAAUAUUACCACAUUUAUCACUAGAAUUCUCAUGUUUUCCUACACUAUGGUAUUUGCAUUACUGGCACUGACAUACAGAAUAGCACCAAAAUGGUGACCACUUAAAAAAUGCUUUAAUCCAUAGGUGUCCAACGUUUUGGCUUGCCUGGGCUGCAUUGAGUGAAAAUGAAUUUUCUAGGGCCAUAUCCACAAAGGUUGCUCUGAAUACCUUCUAAUUAUUUCCAUGGAAACUACAAUAGAAACAAAGAACACAAUAACACUAUUUAAUAGAUCAAAUUCUUAGCUACAGAACACUGUUUUUUUCAAUAUAGUCUCCACCAUUAGCUGUGCAUUUUCCCUGGGGAUGAACAAGAGCCUGCAUACCACAUUCAAAACAAUCUGUACCAGCAGAGGUGACCUGCUAUCACUGUCACCACUGCUGAAACGCACCACCACUGCUCUACUGUGCUCACAUCCACUGUUUGGUCUCCAGAAACAUUCAGCAAGCACCAGUGAAUGUCAGCGGGUGCAAUUUUUUUUCAAAUGAAGGAAUUCCAUUCCACACCUUUGCUUCAUCUGUGUUUCCAUACCACAUGCUAUUUUGCCAGACUGCCCCUCUGCUGCCAUUUGUCACAUGGCAACAACAUAUAAUGGAAUAUUGGUGGGAAGGUUCAAUCUGUGACGCCAUACACCAAAAUCCACCUCUGAUGUCACUGGACAACAUCAUAAAAUAGGAGGCAUUACUUUCAGAGCAGCCAUCAUAAAAUAUAUAAUCUAUGUAUAUAAGUAACAAAACAUUUUAUUUCCUUAAUUAAAAUAUACAAAGAAAAAAAGCAACAAAACCAUAAAACUAGUGGGAUAUGUGAUCUUGCUUCUGUGGAACCAACGCAUUGGGCCGGUUUGAUAGCAGUGGUUGCCAUUCUUUGUGAGCUCCCAAGGUGUUCGUCAGAGAUCUCUGAUUAAAUUUUACUCUUCCUGUGCUUCAUCCUUGAAAACUGCUGUUCUGUUCACAAAUGCGUGUACUGCCAAAAAGCCAUGACAUGAAUAAAGUGUGGUUGUGAAGUGAAGGGUAUUUCUAUCUUUUAAGGUUGGGCUUAUGGCAAAGAUACAUUAUCAAAAUUUUGAUUGCAACUCUAUACAUUUCAUCUGAAAAUUCACAAGCUAUGUAUUUAUGUCAACUGAGUUAGGAUGUAUACCACAGUCUCCAGUGACACUGGAAGUCAAAUAACCACAAGUUAAGGUUUUUUAUUGUAACCAACAAAACAUGUGCAUCCCACAUACCAAUUUACAGAAGCUUUCUGUCUUGUUUUAUAUGAGAAUUCUGAUGCUAAAGUCAAAUUGUUUAAUUGUGUUGUUAAGCCACUCGGCUCAGUAAGAAACAAAGGUUAAAGCUAACACUUCUAGAAACGUUUUGUAUAAAUUCAAAUGAGAACACCCUUGAUGUUUAGUGGGCAGUGGAACUGCACAGACCAAUGGAAAAUUGCUCUUCUGAGAGAUAAAGCUCUCAUUAUCAUGCCCAAUAACUACAUAAAGUUAUGAGGUAUCAGCCUUAAACUUACCAGUUUGGCACCAAGUAUUCUUCUAUUCCAGAAUCAAGAAAGAGUAAUUCUUCCUUCUUUAAUGGGUAUUGCCACAUUCCGACUAUAUGCUGGGAUAGGCCACACUAAGCAUGCUGCUUCUUUCACUCCAUUUUGCAUUCUGCCCACAACUAUGUGUACAACAUGUUUAACCACCAGCCCUCUAAUCAGUGCCUAGAUAACAUCUCUCAAAAAUCAAAAAAACAACAAAAAAAAGUCCAAAGUCUUCCGUAUAACAACCAUAUGGAUACUAUUUAGUUGUGAAUGAAAUCCUGAUUUAAGGUCAGUUUUCUCACAAUUAUCAGGGGUAUAGAUAUAUAUCAGAGGAAAGAUAGCAUUUCUGGUUUUGCUAUUCAUUCCUGCCUUUUAAAAGUCCUCAUGCUUUAAAUCUUAAUAACAAAGGUGUACUUUAAGAUAAACUUAAAAAGAUACUACUUUCGUAGUUCUCUUCCAACCGUUUUUCAUAGUCAGAUUAUUUUUUCACUUUGUGGUAAAUGAUUACUAUUUCUCAAUCACACGUUUAAAAUGUUACUGUGUGUUUGUAUAAGGAAACAAGAACUACUGCAGUUAGAAAGUUCCGUUCCAAAGUAGGAAAACAAAUGUGGCAUUUUUUUUUUUUUCUGAGCAGCUGUGUUCCUAAUGUAUGGUGAAUAAUAAUUUCCUACCUGAAUAAAAGAAAUGAGAAUAAAAGCAGUGCAUUUGUGCAUUCCGCUUCUGGUUUAAGAUAUUUUCAGAGAAAGAAGAAGUGCGUGAUGAGUUUUCUUCCUAAGCAUCACUAGUGAUUUUUCAACAAAAAUUCCAACACGCACAAUUCCCCAAAACCCAGUGAAAACAACAAUGUUGGCUAAGUGUCAGAAUACAUAAACCGAAAGCAAUGCCACUGCACAAGACAUAAUUUGACUUAAAUCUGAAGUACUUGCAAUGACAUGCGGACAGAAAAAGAUCUACAGUGCUUCUACAGGAAGGACAGUUCAUAAAUUGCCCUUAAACUUUCAAGUAUGUUUCAAAAAAAAAAAAAAAAAAAAAAAAAAAAAAGAAACCCAAAGGAAUUGAAAAUAAGCAUACCAUUAUACAGAAUGGUUUCCUCAAAUUUCACUUUUUAAAGCACACCACAGUUAACCAAAUUUGUUGGAGGAAAAAUUCGUUACUUGCAAUUAAACAAAAAUUAGACAGAGUGUCCUCUCCAGUACUAUAGUAGUUUUGAGAGUGAGAAAAGAAACACAGUUUUUGUAGCAAGGAGAACACUCUACUUUGUCCUUAAUAUUAGACGUGAUGCGAUAGACACUGAAAAGAAAAAACCUGGCAAGAGAAUACAUAUUCAGUAAGUAAGAGGAUGAGCUAAAAUCUCUGGAUUCUUAUCCAUGGGCAUUAGAAUCACAAACAAAUGCUGGAAGAGAUCCUUUUGUAACACAGAAAAAAAAGAAGAAAGGACAGCAAAAAAUUCAUCGUGUGAAACUUGCUUAGACUCACUGUAGGAAAAAGAAUGCCUUACUAAUUGUACUGCUCAAAAUAAAGUAUGUACAGUCGAGCCAGAAACUCAACAAAUAAACUUCUGCUUAUCCCCAGAAAACAAUGCAGCUACAAUUUACUGCACAAUUCUAAAUAAAAGUUAAUCUAAGAACAUGCUCGUUUGAUGACAAGAUAGCAGAAAAAUCUUCAGAAGUCAAAAGGAUUUGGAAUCUGACAACUCUGAUCACCACCAUUUUUAAUUAGAAAUCUUUCGUUUUUGAUGGCAAUAUGCCAUGACAUCUUUCCCUCUGAGUACACUUUGGCGUAUAGUUAGGUUAUUUUUCACUUACUCUUCUAGACUAUCAAGACUGCCUACUGUAAUUGUAUUUUCUCAAAACAACAACAACAACAACAACCAAACAAACAAACAAAAACCCACAACACUUCUCUAGCUUUAAAUUCAAACUCCCUUUAGACAACCCACCUUGACAUGACCAUAUUCCAGUACACUGUUAUUCACACUGGGUUUUCCCAAAGAGCAAGUAAUAAUUCAUAGCUGCUCACUUGAUUUUUAGAAGAUAUUUGCAAAAUUUGUCCAGGUUAUCUAAAAUGUCACUCUCCUGUCCUAAACAUACUUCCCACAGCAGCACAGCACAGUUACCACUACAAAAUGAUUCCCCUUUAUAAAGCCUCAUAUAAAGAGUCAUAUAACAAGAGCUAAGAAUCAAGAUGCUCAUAGAAAUAGUCCAUUGACUGAUCCAUGAGUUUUCUUCAAGAUCUCUUCUUCCUGAUACUGUGCUUUUGAAGCAAAUCUGCCGACUGUCUCCAUGUAGAAUACUUUGCUUCAUCCUCAGAGCAGACUUGGAGCAUGCAUUUUGUUCUCCAACCACAAGACAGAAGGUCCAAGUCAGAUCUAGCUCAACGUAGUGCCUCUCCAUAACAGUGGGCAAGAGGGCCUCAGCACAAAGUCCUGUACCACGCUUUCUGCUCACAUUGACACAGUCACUAAGAACACAGCUGCCACUAUAUGAAGUUUUCUUUCUGGUGCAAGAACAGGCAUGAUCCAGAAAUGUAUUCAAACGUAUGCGGCUGGGCAUAAAUUCGCAGUUUCCAAAGUAUUUAUUGGAUUUCCAACAUGGUAUUUUGGGUGUUAUCUUCCUUCUCUUCUUGCACUUGACAGCUUUAAACAGCUUGCAUAUAUACUCAUUUCCUCCUGCCCUUAGACACUCAUUUACCCUGCUGGCAGCAUCUUAGGAAACAAAACCAGUGCCAACAGGAAAGAAAAGCAAGGCAGUGAAUGGACGGAGCAUCCAAAGAGCCUCAUGGAGCUAAUGAUGCUCAGCUACAUCUUCACUGACCGCUGUGCCGGGAACCGCCCGAGCAGGCUGGUGCGGAGGAUGAAGGAAAAGUCAUUCCUUGAGGUACUAUGGGUGGCUUAGUCCUCUGACUGCCAUCUGCUGAAAACAAAACGUAGCCCUUAAUCUGGGGCAAACCGUUACUAUUGCUUUUGGCAGGUUCCUAAAGGCGACCUAAAAAAGGGAGACGGAGGUGGGGGUGGCUCGUGUACUCCUCCUCCCUUCCCCCUCCCGAUGCGCAGCUCUGUCUGCAGCCCAUGUGGCGGGAGGCGGCCGCAGCCGGUUCCAAUUCCCACUUUCCCACUUUGGCCCCCGCUCUCUGCCGGGGCCGGGCCGAGCCAGGACGGGCCGCGGGCUCCCGCCCCCUUCCCUUCCCUCCCUGCCGCGCUCCAUCUUCCGCGCUCCAUCCGAUCCUCCGCUCCCCCAGGGCACAGUGUGGGAAGUACGAAUUUCCGCUGAGUUUUUCUCGGUCACUUUCGGAGCUCGUCUUUCUCCGGCUCCCCCCGCCCCGCCCGCCCCAUCCCCGCGCUCCGCCCGCCCCCUCCGCUCCCGGGAGAGCCGGCGGA